AGAGCAGGGAGUUAACACAGAUUUUUAUUUUGGGUUAUGAAGAGACACGUGUUAUAGUGGCGUGCCACAUUUCCUCAGGACCUUAUACCACGUUUGAGAGAGACAGGUGAGAAGCAGAGAGAGAAAGUUCCCGGAGGCAUGGCGGUGCUUCGGCGAAAACCACUUUCCGGAGAAGAAUCGCCUGCGACGGAAGCCGGAGGCAUGGCGGUGCUACGGGGACAACCUCUUUCUUGCGCGUGAAUGACUCUUUCCUACAGAUCGAGAAUCAAGGAACGAUGGUAGUGGUGCAAGCACAGGGCCAACAACGCAAUGAACAGUAACGAGGGCAUUUUGAUAAUUUGCAUUAUCAAACCAGGUGGAAGGUGAGUGUCCGCAGAACAUAAAACCCUCUGCACUCUGAUCUUACCCCCCACACAUAUGGAGAGAGGAGACCUGGUGAUGGUUCCCGCGUAGUGACGGCGGUGGUGAUUAGAAACCCUAGCCGUUCAACCCAUUUGAAGAAACAAAUCGUCAGAGGAAAAGAGGUGCCGGAGAAUCAAGAGAGAUGGAGAUGGUUGUCGACGGCAGACGCGGCGGAGGCCAUUCUGUGCUCCGACGAUGGGUAACUACGGCGGUAGCGAUGUUUUCAGCGGCGGCUAGAGUCCAAUUCCAACCACGAGUUAUGUUGUUACAUGUUGUUUUGGACGGUUAAAGUAAAGUACAAGGGGCUAAAGCAUUGCAGUAUAAGUACUUGAUGCUUUAGUCUUUAAUCUUUAACUUGACACGUAGUGACAAAUGGCCGGGAAGAUAUUACCGGACAGUGGCAGUAGUUGACCAAUGCGAUCCGCGCAGGACGACGGACGAGGUGAAAGCGUACUACGAAGUACGAACACGAUUAUCUUGAUGAAGAUGGUGAUGCUAUUGGCGAGGAAUUUGUUGUUAGGGUAAAAAAAGAAGAGUAAGCGGUUGCGAAUUUGGCUUCGGAGUUGUUAGCGACAGUUAUUGGAUAAAAAUGUGGAGAAAAGGACAGGAAGAAUGCGACUCCAUGGACUAAAGAAGAACACUGACGGAAAGUCGGAAACCAUUGCAAGAUAUGGGACAUAGAUUAUAUGGCAAAAAAUGUGGGGUUUAUAGUCUCUCACCAACCGCUUUAGCAAUCACGGGUCAGCGGGUCAUAGAGUGACAUAUGUAGUCAGGUGGCGGGUUUGAACGGGUCAAAGUGGCUGGUGAUUUUCAGCAGUACAUGAUAACUAUAAUAUAGGAUUCUGGGUCCGAACUAAUAGGAAGAUCUCACCGCUGCCAUAUGCGAGCUGGCCUAGAUCUGCUGUGAACAUGAUGAACACACCAUCAACACAACUACAAACUCAGCAACCACACCAGCAACGCUGACCUAUAACUGACAAUCCAUGAGCUGGCAUCAGCCAAUCGGCUAAAAAACAAGCAUUGGCUUUUGGAACUGCAACACUUAAAAGUUUGGUGCAAUGCAAUGUGAGGGAUGAGCACCCUGUUCUUUUAUGUGCACUUCUUCCUAAUAAGACGGGAUCAUUGCAGUUAGAUCUAGAAUUUGAUGAAGCUGAAGAUUUAAUUUCUUCUAUUAUUGGUAUACGUUAUGUAUCUCACUGGUACUAUGUUGGUCACAAUGGACAUUCAAAUAUGCAAGAUGAUUCGUGUCCUUAUGUUAUUA